GCGCAGCAGGCGAGAAAACUUCACAAUGUGCGAAAGCACGAUGAGGGAAUCCCAAGUGCUUGCUCGUAAGAGUAAGCUGUUUCUCUGUCUAAAACGCAGAGAGAGUAAGGGCUGGGUAAGACGGGUGCCAGCCGCCGCGGUAAUACCUGCAGCUCGAGUGGUGGCCGCUAUUAUUGGGCCUAAAACGUCCGUAGCCGGUUUAUUAAAUGCCUGGGUAAAUCGGACCGCUUAACGGUUCGAAUUCCGGGUAGACUGAUAAACUUGAGACCGGGAGAAGCUAGAGGUACUCCGUGGGGUAGAGGUGAAAUUCUGUAAUCCUAGGGGGACCACCAGUGGCGAAGGCGUCUAGCUAGAACGGGUCUGACGGUGAGGGACGAAGCCCGU
rnacentral:rRNA from 1 species